GACGAACGCUGGCGGCGUGCUUAACACAUGCAAGUCGAACGAGAGCGUAGAGAAAGCUUGCUUUUUCUACAAUCUAGUGGCAAACGGGUGAGUAACGCGUAAACAACCUGCCCUACGGAUGGGGGCAACAGCUGGAAACGGCUGCUAAUACCGAAUACGUUCCGAAAGUCGCAUGACUAUCGGAAGAAAGGAUGGCCUCUAUUUAUAAGCUAUCGCCGGAGGAGGGGUUUGCGUCUGAUUAGCUAGUUGGAGGGGUAACGGCCCACCAAGGCGACGAUCAGUAGCCGGUCUGAGAGGAUGAACGGCCACAUUGGAACUGAGACACGGUCCAGACUCCUACGGGAGGCAGCAGUGGGGAAUCUUCCGCAAUGGGCGAAAGCCUGACGGAGCAACGCCGCGUGAGUGAAGACGGCCUUCGGGUUGUAAAGCUCUGUUAUACGGGACGAAUAAUCUUGUGGUUAAUACCCAUGAGAAGUGACGGUACCGUAAGAGAAAGCCACGGCUAACUACGUG
rnacentral:rRNA from 1 species